CCUUAAUGUCUGACAGGAGGAAAGCUGACUAUGAGGAAAGGGAGGAAUCUGAGCAUGAAUCUGAAGAUGAUUCUGAAGAAGAAGACUGAGAAAAGGAAACGGACUGAGGGUCUUAUUGAGAUAGCAAAUCCAAAUUUGGUUUAACCAAAGACCUUGAAAGCUAGCGAAGCAAAUGUGAAUAUAGCAUCUGAACUCUCAAAGCAUGAAAGG